GACAGAGGUGCCGAGCGUUAGGCGGAAUCACUGGGCUUAAAGCGUGUGUAGGCGGGCGAUCAAGUACCUUGUGAAAUCCCACGGCUCAACCGUGGAACCGCUGGGUAUACUGGUUGUCUUGAGCCGGCUAGGGGCGAGCGGAACAGACGGUGGAGCGGUGAAAUGCGUAGAUAUCGUCUGGAACGCCGAAGGUGAAAACAGCUCGCUGGGGCUGUGCUGACGCUGAGACACGAAAGCCAGGGGAGCGAACGGG
rnacentral:rRNA from 1 species